AGAAGCACCCAAGGGUGGGGUUGUUCGCCCAUUAAAAGGGAUCGUGAGAUGGGUUUAGACCGUCGUGAGACAGGUUUGUUGCUAUGUGCUGGGACUGUCCAAUGCCUGAGGGGAAGGAUCCUCUAGUACGAGAGGAACGAGGGUUCGCAGCCACUAGUUUACCAGUUGUCUGACAAGGCACCGCUGGGCAGCCACGCUGUAAGGGAUAAGAGCUGAAAGCAUCUAAGCUCGAAACCCGCCUCAAAACGAGGCAUUUUGACACUUAUAGAAGAUAAGAUUGAUAGGNCCGGGGUGUAAGCACCGAGAG
rnacentral:rRNA from 1 species